rnacentral:rRNA from 1 species
CCGGCGACCGGCGCACGGGUGAGUAACACGUAUGCAACCUGGCCGUGACAGAUGGAUAACCGGGAGAAAUCCCGCCUAAUACAGCAUGACGCCGGGAAGGGACAUCCCUUUCCGGCCAAAGGGGGCGACUCCGGUCACGGAUGGGCAUGCGGCGCAUUAGCUAGUCGGCGGGGUAACGGCCCACCGAGGCGACGAUGCGUAGGGGUUCUGAGAGGAAGGUCCCCCACACUGGUACUGAGACACGGACCAGACUCCUACGGAAGGCAGCAG